rnacentral:rRNA from 1 species
AUUGAACGCUGGCGGAAUGCUUUACACAUGCAAGUCGAGCGGCAGCGCGGGGGGCAACCCUGGCGGCGAGCGGCGAACGGGUGAGUAACAUAUCGGAACGUACCCUGUCGUGGGGGAUAACUAUCCGAAAGGAUAGCUAAUACCGCAUACGACCUGAGGGUGAAAGCGGGGGAUCGCAAGACCUCGCGCGAUAGGAGCGGCCGAUAUCGGAUUAGCUAGUUGGUGGGGUAAAGGCUCACCAAGGCGACGAUCCGUAGCUGGUCUGAGAGGACGACCAGCCACACUGGAACUGAGACACGGUCCAGACUCCUACGGGAGGCAGCAGUGGGGAAUUUUGGACAAUGGGGGCAACCCUGAUCCAGCCAUUCCGCGUGAGUGAAGAAGGCC